rnacentral:lncRNA from 1 species
CCCUCUCGAGCCAGGACUGCCGGAGGAGGAAGCCAAGUCCCUUGGCCGGACUGUCUGCAUGGGAAAUCUGAUGCAAGUGUAUUUCAAUAGGAAAGAGAGGACCCUCCCCUGAUUUUCUUCUCUAUUAGUUCUCUAAUGUACACUGACGAGCUGAGAGCCUGACAAAUCAGCAACAAGAGUGGAAUGAACCGAAGAACAACCAUAUCCUAAUCUAGUUCUGAAGAACGGAAAAGCCAUUAGAAGGAAGACAAAUAAAGAAGACAUGGUGGACACGCUUGGUUGCUGUACGUGAUCUGGUCCUGUAGUGUCCAAGCACACAGCUGUCACUUGGUGUGAAUAGGAUAGACCCCUCCUAACCCUGCCUAUCGCCACGGGGAGGAAGGCCAAGGUUGGGCGCGAGUCUUCCAAUCCAUGAAAACCUGCUUCCCUGGGAUCUGCAAAAGUGGGGCUCUCCCCAGGUAUUGGCCACAUCUUAAAGCUCACCCAACUAGCUUCUUUCCCCAGUAGCUCACCUGAACAUGGAUUGUGGAGUGGGAACCCAGGCCUUUUCUCCCUUUAGGCUGCUGAGACCUUGCAGGCUGGGAUGUAUUCAGUCUUCUCUCAGCCCUGGAGCACUGCUUCCUGCCUCCCUGCACAGAAUGACCUAGGUAGUCCAUGGCUUCUCUCUGGCUCAUCCCUACAGCUUUGAGUUGAAGGACUGUUUUUGCUAUGUGAUGGUAAGGAUACCAGCUGUGCCUUCCUAAACCCUGUUUGACUACAACAAUGAAAGUAGGUGCAGAUGGGAGAAGAGCUUGACAAGGAAGAGUUCCAACAUCUGGAGCCAGACUGCGCGGGUUUGAAUCCUGGUUUUGCCAGUUAACAGGGGUGGAGGGAGCAUCAGCGGUCCCUGGUGAAAGAGAAGACUUUGAAGCACCUGGAGGAGAAAGUCCUCACUGGGAGACGUAACCUUUGGGCUCGGACCACCGCCUCUGAUGCUCCAUCCCUACAGGGCAAGAUUCAGAAUUUAAUGGAAACCAUCACACCAUUAGCCUGCUACAGCUCAUCUAACAUCCUGGCUUCGAGAAGCCUGAAGCCUGAAGUAUUGAGCGGUCACCUAGAGCAUGUUCAUUUGAUCUGA